rnacentral:rRNA from 1 species
UACGUAGGGUGCAAGCGUUAAUCGGAAUUACUGGGCGUAAAGCGUGCGCAGGCGGUGAUGUAAGACAGUUGUGAAAUCCCCGGGCUCAACCUGGGAACUGCAUCGUGUGACUGCAUCGCUGGAGUGCGGCAGAGGGGGAUGGAAUUCCGCGUGUAGCAGUGAAAUGCGUAGAUAUGCGGAGGAACACCGAUGGCGAAGGCAAUCCCCUGGGCCUGCACUGACGCUCGAUGCACGAAAGCGUGGGGAGCAAACAGGG